rnacentral:rRNA from 1 species
GCUUCUUUGCUGACGAGUGGCGGACGGGUGAGUAAUGUCUGGGAAACUGCCUGAUGGAGGGGGAUAACUACUGGAAACGGUAGCUAAUACCGCAUAACGUCGCAAGACCAAAGAGGGGGACCUUCGGGCCUCUUGCCAUCGGAUGUGCCCAGAUGGGAUUAGCUUGUUGGUGGGGUAACGGCUCACCUAGGCGACGAUCCCUAGCUGGUCUGAGAGGAUGACCAGCCACACUGGAACUGAGACACGGUCCAGACUCCUACGGGAGGCAGCAGUGGGGAAUAUUGCACAAUGGGCGCAAGCCUGAUGCAGCCAUGCCGCGUGUAUGAAGAAGGCCUUCGGGUUGUAAAGUACUUUCAGCGGGGAGGAAGGGAGUAAAGUUAAUACCUUUGCUCAUUGACGUUACCCGCAGAAGAAGCACCGGCUAACUCCGUGCCAGCAGCCGCGGUAAUACGGAGGGUGCAAGCGUUAAUCGGAAUUACUGGGCGUAAAGCGCACGCAGGCGGUUUGUUAAGUCAGAUGUGAAAUCCCCGGGCUCAACCUGGGAACUGCAUCUGAUACUGGCAAGCUUGAGUCUCGUAGAGGGGGGUAGAAUU